rnacentral:rRNA from 1 species
AGAGUUUGAUCCUGGCUCAGGACGAACGCUGGCGGCACGCUUAACACAUGCAAGUCGAACGAGAGAAGAGGAGCUUGCUUUUCUGAUCUAGUGGCGGACGGGUGAGUAACACGUGAGCAAUCUGCCUUUCAGAGGGGGAUACCGAUUGGAAACGAUCGUUAAUACCGCAUAACAUAAUUGAACCGCAUGAUUUGAUUAUCAAAGAUUUAUCGCUGAAAGAUGAGCUCGCGUCUGAUUAGCUAGUUGGUAAGGUAACGGCUUACCAAGGCGACGAUCAGUAGCCGGACUGAGAGGUUGAUCGGCCACAUUGGGACUGAGACACGGCCCAGACUCCUACGGGAGGCAGCAGUGGGGAAUAUUGCACAAUGGAGGAAACUCUGAUGCAGCGAUGCCGCGUGAGGGAAGAAGGUUUUAGGAUUGUAAACCUCUGUCUUCAGGGACGAAAAAAGACGGUACCUGAGGAGGAAGCUCCGGCUAACUACGUGCCAGCAGCCGCGGUAAUACGUAGGGAGCGAGCGUUGUCCGGAAUUACUGGGUGUAAAGGGAGCGUAGGCGGGAUCGCAAGUCAGAUGUGAAAACUAUGGGCUUAACCCAUAAACUGCAUUUGAAACUGUGGUUCUUGAGUGAAGUAGAGGUAAGCGGAAUUCCUAGUGUAGCGGUGAAAUGCGUAGAUAUUAGGAGGAACAUCAGUGGCGAAGGCGGCUUACUGGGCUUUAACUGACGCUGAGGCUCGAAAGCGUGGGGAGCAAACAGGAUUAGAUACCCUGGUAGUCCACGCCGUAAACGAUGAUUACUAGGUGUGGGGGGACUGACCCCUUCCGUGCCGCAGCAAACGCAAUAAGUAAUCCACCUGGGGAGUACGACCGCAAGGUUGAAACUCAAAGGAAUUGACGGGGGCCCGCACAAGCAGUGGAGUAUGUGGAUUAAUUCGAAGCAACGCGAAGAACCUUACCAGGUCUUUACAUCGUAUGCAUAGCUCAGAGAUGAGUGAAAUCUCUUCGGAGACAUAUAGACAGGUGGUGCAUGGUUGUCGUCAGCUCGUGUCGUGAGAUGUUGGGUUAAGUCCCGCAACGAGCGCAACCCUUACUGUUAGUUGCUACGCAAGAGCACUCUAGCAGGACUGCCGUUGACAAAACGGAGGAAGGUGGGGAUGACGUCAAAUCAUCAUGCCCCUUAUGACCUGGGCCUCACACGUACUACAAUGGCUGUCAACAGAGGGAAGCAAAGCCGCGAGGUGGAGCGAACCCCUAAAAGCAGUCUUAGUUCGGAUUGUAGGCUGCAACCCGCCUACAUGAAGUCGGAAUUGCUAGUAAUCGCAGAUCAGCAUGCUGCGGUGAAUACGUUCCCGGGCCUUGUACACACCGCCCGUCACGCCAUGGGAGUCGGUAACACCCGAAGCCUGUAGUCUAACCGCAAGGAGGACGCAGUCGAAGGUGGGAUUGAUGACUGGGGUGAAGUCGUAACAAGGUA